AACGAACGCUGGCGGCAUGCCUAACACAUGCAAGUCGAACGGGAUCCGGACUUCGGUCCGGUGAGAGUGGCGGACGGGUGAGUAACACGUGGGAACCUGCCUUUUGGUUCGGGAUAACCGCGGGAAACUGCGGCUAAUACCGGAUGCUCCCGAGAGGGAAAAGAUUUAUCGCCAGAAGAGGGGCCCGCGUCCGAUUAGGUAGUUGGUGGGGUAAUGGCCUACCAAGCCGACGAUCGGUAGCUGGUCUGAGAGGAUGAUCAGCCACACUGGGACUGAGAUACGGCCCAGACUCCUACGGGAGGCAGCAGUGGGGAAUAUUGGACAAUGGGGGGCAACCCUGAUCCAGCAAUGCCGCGUGAGUGAUGAAGGCCUUAGGGUUGUAAAAAUUCUUUCGACGGGGAAGAUAAUGACGGUACCCGUAGAAGAAGCUCCGGCUAACUUCGUGCCAGCAGCCGCGGGU
rnacentral:rRNA from 1 species